rnacentral:rRNA from 1 species
GAUGAACGCUAGCGGCAGGCUUAAUACAUGCAAGUCGUGGGGCAGCAUGAGUAGCAAUACUUGAUGGCGACCGGCAAACGGGUGCGGAACACGUACACAACCUUCCGAUAAGUGGGGAAUAGCCCAGAGAAAUUUGGAUUAAUACCCCGUAACAUAUAGAGUAGGCAUCUUCUUUAUAUUAUAGCUUCGGCGCUUAUUGAUGGGUGUGCGUCUGAUUAGGUAGUUGGCGGGGUAACGGCCCACCAAGCCUACGAUCAGUAGCUGAUGUGAGAGCAGUAUCAGCCACACGGGCACUGAGACACGGGCCCGACUCCUACGGGAGGCAGCAGUAAGGGAUAUUGGACAAUGGGCGAAAGCCUGAUCCAGCCAUGCCGCGUGAAGGAUUAAGGUCCUCUGGAUUGUAAACUUCUUUUAUUUGGGACGAAAAAAGGGAAUUCUUUCCCACUUGACGGUACCAAGUGAAUAAGCACCGGCUAACUCCGUGCCAGCCGCCGCGGUAACAC